CAAGUGUAUUACCAAAAUAUGAUAGGGCAUUGCUACAUUACUCAAUGGGUCUAUCCACAUCGCUGCCUCUAUGUUACACUAUUUCUAAAAUAUAUAAAUGUUGGUAGUGUUGUAUGGUGGUGUUUUGUCGGAUUCUGAUCCGUAGAUUAUAAUAUAUCCGUAGCUUUUUGUCAUGCUUCAUAGGCUUGCCCAUCUUAGGCUAUCAGUUAUCCGGAACAUCU